rnacentral:lncRNA from 1 species
UCAUCGCAAAACCUUCUAUAAAUACCGUCGCUCUCCCCGUCGCCGAUCGCAACCCGAAAACCUUCGCUCCGAUCAGCAGAUUUUCUCUCACUAAAAGUUUCAGUUCCUUCUUUCUCUCUCUAAGAAGCUCUUCUUCCAUGGCUGGCUCAAGCGCGUUGCUCCCUCUGGCCGCAAUGGCGGUGCUCCUCGUCGGCCUGGCGGUGGCGCAGAGCCCCGCCCCGUCGCCGGCCCUCACCCCCUCCAAGUCCCCCUCGCCGUCUUCUUCGCCGCCGGCUUCCGCCCCGUCUCCUCCCUCCGGCCCCGUCGCCUCUCCGCCGUCGCCCCCGGCGUCGUCUCCCGCCCCGGAGGCCCCUGCGCCGUCGAUCGCGACGCCGCCGGCCGCGGCGCCCGCUCCUGGGGACAGUGGCGCCGCCAGUAACGGAGUUGGCUUCGCCGGUUCGGUGGCGAUCGGCGCCGUCGUCGCUGGUCUGUUCAUAUAAGCGAGCGAUCCGCCGGAUUCUUGCUGCUUCCUAAGACUACCACCGUUUAUUUCUUUUUUUUAAAUUUUUGUUCCAUAAUACUCCAAAGUCUUUCUUUUUUUUUUGGAAUUUUCGACACUUUUAUGUAUAGAGAGAUGCUUAUCGGACAGAUCGUUACAGAGGAUUGAUGAUAUUGUUUAUCCAGAGAUUAUUAUUAUUAUUUAUCGCUAAUAAUACUCAUGUGUUUAGUUUCUUGGUGAAUGGAUAUUCAGUUGUUUAUCUAUUAUUUGCUAUUCUUGCUCGCCUAAACAAGUACACAUUGUCGAUGUAUUUUCGAAAAUUAACAAAAUAUCUCAAUUUGGUCUAAUUUUUCACUUUUCUGAACACUCUCAAUAACAACAUCAAAGGUAGAAUAUACUUUACCAAAAUAAAAUGGUGAGGACUUCGCUAUUUAAGUACCAACCCAUAAUUUUUAAUAAAUAAAGAAUUAAUUCGUGAUAUGUUAGUAGGAGUAACAAGAGAUAAUGAUGAUUAAAUGGUUUGUGCUACUAAGAGUUACUGAUAAAUAUACAAAUUGGUUUCUAAACUUUAGUCCAACGAGUAAUGUGUCAAUAUAAUCACCAAAUUCUUAAUUUGUUCAACAUGUCCCUAAGCUUUUAAUACAUGUUUAAUAUAAUUCUUGAAUUAUAUAAAAAUGUAUUCAUGCUGUCUUUAAAUUAAUUUUCAUAUAGUUUAGAGACUAAAUUGAACAAAUUAAAAGUUCAUGAACCGUAUUAAACAAAUUAAAAAUUUAGAGAUUACAUUACACAUUGAGCUAAAUUUCAAUAACCACGUUAGACAAGUUAAAAUUUUAAAGGCCAUAUUAUAUAUUAAGCCAAAGUUUAUGAACCAAUUGUAUCAUUUUUUCAAAUAGUUAAUGUCAUUUGAAAUCUAUGUUCUUUUGGAAAAUGCAUGAGAAACUACAAUGUGACUGAAAGAAAGGAAAUUUAUCUUAAAAGUUUCAUUUAUUCAAGGGAAUAAGUAUACUAGAAGUCCUAUAAUAAUUGAGUUCUAAAACUUAUUGAAUUGGUGCAAUCAAGUUCCUCAAAUUGGCUGAACAGUUUUUAUCGACAAGUUUUUAAAAUAUUUUUUUCUCUCCCACGGGACUUCGGCAUUGAAAUAAUAUACCCAAAAAGCCAUUGUUUCUCAAUUUAAUAAUAAUUUUUCUCAGAAAACUUAAUUAAGCAGGAUCAACGGUGAGAUUAAAAACCCACACCCUUCCACAAAAGAGCUUCCCCAGGAGAUUGUAAUGGCAGCGUAGAGGAGUUUCCAUUUGUAGAGUAGGUAUACAUGGGUUGGAUCUGGCUGUUUUGGCGUCAGCUGUGACUAGCGAGUCGUCCAGGUCCGUGCAAAGACAAAUGUGAAUUCGAACUUUUUGUUGCCGUUGCCGUCUUCUUGUUCUGACGACAAGAGACGGUGGUUCCCACUGACCAUCCUCUCUCGAAUCUUCGCCGGUUUUGCCUUAGAUUUUUGCGCCUUGAGGAGUGCGGUGGGUUGUGGUUAUUCUUGUAAUUCUCAGCAUUUUAUUUCUUUUCAAAUUUUUGAAAAAGAUCGUGAGCAACGGAGUUGGCUUUGCCGGGGCGGUGGCGAUCGCCGAUCAGCACCCUCAUCGCCGGUCUGGUCAUCUAGGUGGUAGCCGGAUUCCUGCUGCUGCUGCUCGCUGGCUGCUUUUUAUUUCUUUUCUUUUUUUAUUUAAUUUUCAUAAUACUCAAAAUUCUUUUUUCGAUAUUUGUAUGCACAGAGAGGCAUGGACAUUAGACAGAUCAUUACAGAGGAUUGAUUAUAUAUUAUUUAUCCGGAGAUGAUAUUAUUAUUUAUUGUUAAUAAUGUUCGUUCAUUUAUUUUCUUGGUAUUUGAGACCCAAAGUGUUCUCAUUUUCUCAAAAGAGGACCUGAAGUAAAAUCUGUCUCAAAUAAGGAUUCAAAGUAGUCAUUUAGUCUUAAAGAAUGACCCCAAUCACCAGCUGGUAAUAGUUACAUCUCCAAUGCAUAUUCCGAUGGCCUGAUUAGGGUAUUUUCGUCCAACUUUUUUUUUUUUUUCAUUUUUUGAUUGUCCUGUUCAUCAUCUUCUUCAGGGCACGUUUGCUUUGAUUUCCCCCAUGAUACAACACGCUACAAUUAUACAUUUCGAAAGGAACCCAUUUGCUGCCUUCACUAAGGAAUACCAACAAACACCGACCGAGCAUACACACCAUUAUAUCCAAAACAUGCAGAAUCCCGAAUUGUUCACUCGAGACGGUAAUGACACAAAGCAAAGGGGAAGGAAAACGAAGUGCCGACCUUCUUGAGCACCUCUUCUAGUAUGAAAGCCUAGAAAUUUGCGCUCGUCGCGGUCGGUUUGGGCGAGCUCGAGACGGAGAAGAGAGCAUUGUUAUUGAUUUGUGACGGGUUAGCGGGACGAGCGAUGAAGGUAGAGAGAUGGGUCUGGAUGGAGUUGGAUAUCUUCUCACGAUUUUGGAAGAGACUGAGGAAUGGGUUUUCGGACAUCGUCACCUAGAACGGCGAAGGAGUCGGAAUGAAACGACAAGAAAGUGAAAAUUUGAUAACGAUUUCCACUCUCACUAUUCAUCUUCUUGCCCAUAUCAAGAACACUAGAAUUGGGGAAAGGCCAACGAGGGCUUGACGCCUAUCGUCGGCAACGAGCGAGGGCUUACGCCCAUCGCCGGCAACGAGCGAGGGCCAUUGAGCCCUCGCCAACCUUUCCCCAAGUCUAGUGUUCUUGAUUUGGGUAAGAAGAUGAAUAGGGAGAAUGGAAAUCAAUAUUUUCCACGCCUGAAGCGAAACUUGUAAAAUCCUAAUCCGACUCAUGUUCGAUUCACUAAAGCAUCAUUGUAGUCUAUAAAAGCUAGAAUAAGAUAAAACUCAUGCUGUUAGCUAAGCAAAUGAAAACGGUAUUUUCAUGACUCACGAAUCUCUCUGAGUAGAGCUGAUUCCUCUAAGUCGCUUGCUUAUGCAUUUAUCAUCAUGUUCUUCCUCUGGGUUCGUCAGAUUUUUGCUUUUACAUGUCGAAUGCUUAUUUAAUGUGCGGAAGUGACUGGUGGUGGUGCUAGGAGGUGUUGCUUUUUUCUUUGCAAGACCUCAAAGCAUGUGACUCUUUGAUGGGCAUCCAACCCUCGCCGGCCCUUCCCAAAUCCGAUCUUCUUGGUCUGGGUAAGAAGAAGACAAAAAGGGGACGGAGAAGAUGAUGAACAAUGCAAUCAUCAACCAAAAAAAAAAAAAGAACAGAACAAACCGAAAUUAAAAAAAGAAUUUUUUUGGACAAAAAUACCCAUGAUCAGGUCACCGGAAUAUACAUUGGAGACGCAUCUAUUCACCGGUCGGCAAGUGAGGUCAUUCUUUGAGACUAAAUGACCACUUUGGAUCCUUAUCUGAGACAAACUCCAUUUUAGGUCAUCUUUUGAAAAAAAAAAAAGUAUGCACUUUGGGCCCUUAUUUGGGAUUUUUCCUUUUUUUUUAUCCAUUAUUUGCGAUUGUUGUUCACUUAAAGAUCAUUUUUCAAAAAUAGCACAGCACCUCAUGAAUCGAGAAAAAAAAAACUGCCGUUUGAUCUAAUUAUUCGCUUUUCUAAAUGUUACUACAGUCCCAAUAAACAGUUAUAUGACAGUUUUACAUCAAAAUAACAAAAUAAAGGUAAUUAUCUAAAAUGAAGCAAAAAUUCAAAGAUUUCUAUGUACUUUACUAACAAAAAAAAAAAGUGAGGACUUUGCAAUUCAAUUACCAUUCUAUAAUUUAUAAGGAAUAAAAAGUCAAUUAGUGAUAUGUUAAGGAUUAGCGAGUUGAGAGCGACCACUAAAAUACUAUGCUCAAUGUUGAAUAAUAAACGAAAAUGGCCAUCGUUUAUUAUUUAAGUUUUAAUUUUUCUCAUAAAGAAAUAGGCAAUAUUAGAAAAGUGGGUAGAUGGCUCGCAUAUGGAAAUAUGAAUAUUUUGGGGACCACAUUAAAUGAAUUAAAAGUCCUAAGAUGGUAUUUGCAUAUUUAGCUAAAAGUACGAAAAUGGCAUAAAAUAAAGUAAAACUUGAAAUGGUAUUUGCACUCGAAAGUCAUAAAACUUGUCACAAAAAGUUAUGAGUCUUAAAAUUUUUAAAAAAUGCAAUUAAGGUCUUUCGUUAACUCCAUUUAAUUUGAUUAACAUAAAAUGCCGAUGCGACUUUUCUCAAUACUUUCUCAAGACAAGUGAUGUCGAUGUGGCGCCUAUGGAACAUUGAAUCAAAGAAAAAAAUAUUUGAAAAUUUGAAAAGGAAAAACAAUGCUAAGAAUUAUAUAAAUAAAAGAAUUCAAAGAUAUUUGACACAAAGCUAUUCAACAAUAAGGUAUUAGCGGAUUGACAAGUUUUAUGACUUUCGAGUGCAAUUAGCCCUUUAUUCAAUGACUAGAAACUAGACUUGGAUACAUAACUUGUGGACGUAUAAUCAAUUCAUCGAUUUCGAAUCAAGUUUUUUCGGGGUUUGGGCAAACAUAUAACGACAACAAAUUCAAAAAUUCUAACCAAGCGUCGUCCAUUUGGUUCUACAAUCGAUUCUUAACUCGAAAGUUUCUCUGUUUCAUAAAUUAGAAAACUUUGACAUAAGAAAUAACACUCGACAUUAUUAGAAGAGUUAAUACAAAAAAAAAUCUCAAAUUUAUAUACUAGUGAAAAAUUUAUCUCAAUUUAUUUUUAUUAGAUUUUAUUGUUAAAUUGUUGAGUCGGAUGACAUAGAGUUAUAAAUAUACAAAUUUGUGAUUUUUUGUGGUAUUAAUAUAAUUUAACAAAAAAUAACGGAUGAUAAAUUUAUUAUGAAAAUAUCAAUUUAGAAUUUGUGGUGAUAAAAAAUUUAAUUUAAAGUAAAGUUAUUAUAUAUGUAUUAAUUUAAAAAAUUUCAUGAUAUUAAUAUUUAUUGAAAAUGCCCAUAAUCGCGAAAGAUGUACCCUGGCUAGUCGUCGAUGUGCUGUGAAUUUAUUUUUGGGCUAUUAGAACGUGCUAAAGAGACAUAACCCUUUACAACUGUCGCCGCUAAACCCCAGCUAUAAGACUGGCAUCACCGCGCAGGACGAAAAACCGCGUCGCUGAUUGGCCACGCGGUUAGAAAAUACAAAUAAAUCUUGGCCGUCAGAUUGAUCCGAGGGUUUCCAUUUAUAAUGCGGAUCCAACGGUCGACUCCGAUGAACUCCACCCCCAGCACGGAACUCUCAUCGUAAAACCUUCUAUAAAUACCGUCGCCCUCCCCGUCGCCCUCCCCGUCGCCGAUCGCAACCCGAAAACCCUCGCUCCGAUCAGCAGAUUUUCUCGCACUAAAAGUCUCAGUUUCUUCUUUCUCUCUCUAAGAAGCUCUUCUUCCAUGGCUGGCUCAAGCGCGUUGCUCCCUCUGGCCGCAAUGGCGGUCCUCCUCGUCGGCCUGGCGGUGGCGCAGAGCCCCGCCCCGUCGCCGGCCCUCACCCCCUCCAAGUCCCCCUCGCCGUCGCCUUCGCCGCCGGCUUCCGCCCCGUCUCCUCCCUCCGGCCCCGUCGCCUCUCCCCCGUCGCCCCCGGCGUCGUCUCCCGCCCCGGAGGCUCCCGCGCCGUCGAUCGCGACGCCGCCGGCCGCGGCGCCCGCUCCUGGGGACAGUGGCGCGGUCAGCAACGGAGUUGGCUUCGCCGGUUCGGCGGCGAUCGGCGCCCUCGUCGCUGGUCUGUUCAUAUAAGCGAGCGAUCCGCCGGAUUCUCGCUGCUUCUCUAAGGCUACCACCGUUUAUUUCCUUUUUUAAGAUUUUUGUUUCAUAAUACUCAAAAUUCUUUUUCUUUUUUUUGGAAAUUUUGACACUUUUAUGUAUAGUGAGAAAUGCUUAUCGGACAGAUCAUUACAGAGGAUUGAUGAUAUUGUUUAUCCAGAGAUUAUUAUUAAUUAUUGCUAAUAAUAUUCGUGUAUUUAGUUCCUUGGUGAAUCAAUAUUCAGUUGUUUAUCUAUUAUUUGCGAUUCUUGCUCACCUAAACAUGUACACAUUGUUGAUGUAUUUUUGAAAAUUAACGAAAUGCCUCGUGAUCAGAAAAAAUUGUGAUUUGGUCUAAUUUUUCGCUUUUUAGAACACUCUCAAUAACAACAUCAAAGGUAGAAUAUACUUUACCAAAAUAAAAUGGUGAGGACUUCACUAUUUAAGUACCAACCUGUAAUUUCUAAGAAAUGAAAGGUCGAUUUGUGAUAUGUUAGUAGGAAUAGCAAGCGAGAGUGAUGAUCAAAUGGUUUGUGCUACUACUAAGAGUUACAGAUAAAUAUAAUUACCAAACUUUUAAUUUGUUCAAUAUAUUUCUAAGCCUUCAAUACAUAUUUAAGGUCAUUCUUGAAUUAUAUAAAAAUGUUUGCACGCUAGUCCUUACAUUAAUUUUCAUAUAACUCGGGGAUUAAAUUGAACAAAUUAAAAGUACUUCAACCUUAUUGAAUAAAUUAAGAAAUUUUAAGAAUCACAUUACACAUCGGGCUAAAUUUCAAAAACGACAUUAGGCAAGUUAAAAUUUUAGGGCCAUAUAUAAUAUUGAGUCAAAAUUUAUGGACUAUUCGUAUCAUUUUUUCAAAUAAUUAAUGUCAUUUGAGGAUUCUAUUUUUAUCCCAAAUCUAUGUUCUUUUAAAAAAUACAUGAGAAACUACUAUGUGACUGAAAGAAAUUAUCUUAAAGGUUUCAUUUAUUCAAGAGAAUAAGUAUACUAGAAGUCCUAUAAUAAUUGAGUUCUAAAAGUUAUUGAAUUGGUGCGAUCAAGUCCCUCAAUUUGGCUAAACAGUUUUUAUCAACAAUUUAUAUAUAUUUCUCUCCUAGGGUACUUCAGCAUCGAAAUAAUAUACCCAAAAAGCCAUUGUUUCUCAUUUAAAUCAUAAUUUUUCUCAGAAAACUUAAUUAAACGGGAUCAACAGUGAGAUUAAAAACCCACACCCUUCCACAAAAGAGCUUCCCCAGAGGAGAUUGUGAUAGCGGCGAAAAGGAGUUUUCGAAGAGUGGGUAUAUGGGUUGGAUCUGGCUGUUUUGGCGUCAGCUGCAACUAGCAAGUCAUCCAGGUCCGGGCAAAGACAAAUGUAAAUUCUAACUCUUUGUUGCCGUUAUCAGAACCAAAAAAAAAAAAACUCUUUGUUGCCGUUGCUGUCUUCUUGUUCUCACGGCAAGAGCCGGUUUUGCCUUAGAUUUUUGCGCCUUGAGGAGUGCGGUGGGUUAACCACUGGGAUUUACCUUAGUGGCCACUCUUCCAACAUGGAAGAGGGAGGUGAGGGGUUCAAAUCCCCACCUUUUCAGAGGAGAUGGGAUGGGGACGCGUAAGUUUUAGAAGUGAAUUUUAACUCCCACGCCCUGCAAGAGGCAGGGCAAAAGUCUGAAAGUAAGUGUAAUGUAGGAAUAGAGUAGGACUGACCAAAAACAAAAAAGUACGGUGGGUUGUGGUUAUUCUUGUAAUUCUUAGCAUUUUAUUUCUUUUCAAAUUUUCAAAAAAGAUCAUGAUGUGGCAUUGAGUGGGCACUACGUUGGUGCCACGUGUCUUGAGAAAGUAUCAAAGAAAGGCAUGUCAACCUUUCCUACCAAACAAAUUUGAUGAAGUUAAUAGAUGAAUUUGAUUGUGCCGAUUCAACGUAUUUUAAGAUUUGAUUAUACUUUGUAAGAGUUUUAGAGUUCAAAUGAUACUUUUGCAAUAGGUCUUAGGAUUUUCAUAUUGUAAUCGAGGAAGCACCGAUACUUUUCGAGAGCCAUCGUGUUGUGUCAAAUACUUUGACACGUGUUCGACACUCUUGGACACUCUUCUACACUCAGUUAAUACGUGUCAAAAAAAUCUGACACUUGAUCAACUUUUUCAACAUCCUCUAAUAUUUGAGUUGGAAUUUCGACAUGUGAGUUUCUGACACGUGAGGUCAAUUUUAAAAAUUUUCAAUAAAGGAGGGAUCAAAAAGUACAUACAUGGUUUUUACCAAAAAAGAAAAUGUAUAUACAUGAAAAAAAAAAUAAUAAUAAACAAAGAAAGAAAAAAACUAAUAUUCACCUCCAAGUUUUUUUCCCCUUCUCUUCCGAUACGUCUAACAUGCAAGUCUAGAAUUGAAUUGCUUGUUUUUUCUCCAAGUUUUAUGUAUUAUUGAAAUGGAGUUAAAUUUGUCAAAUUGAAACAAUGGAUGAUAUUAAUGAAUAAUGGAUUAAUAUUUUUAGCGUAAAUUUAUUCUAGGUUAUUAUUAUUUUUAUUUAUUUGUGACUUUGAAUCAAAUUAAUUUGAUUGAAAUAAUCAUAAAAAUAAUAAUUUAUUAUGUAUAUAUAAAAAUAUAUAUUUAAUAUAUAACAUAUCCAAACGUGUUUGAAUUCUCUAUUUUUUUAGAAACGACAUAUCGGCGUGUUGUAUGGCGUGUCAGUGUCAAUAUUACUUAGAUUGCAAUUACCCUUUUAUUUAUGCAACAACUAGAAAUCAGACUUGGAUGCAUAACUCGUGGAUGUAGAACCAAAAUUCAUUUACUUCGCAUCAAGCUUUUGUGGGCUCAAGCAAACAUAUAACGACAACACAAGAGAUUCAUAUAUUCUAACUGAGCACCGUCCCUUUGGUUUUGCAACCCAUUCUUAACUCGGAAGUUUCUCUGUCUUACAAAUUAGAAAGAAAUGCCAACAUAGGAAAUAACACUUGAUAUUAUAAUAAUAAUAAAAAUGGCCGGAAUAUAUAUCAUAUUCAUAUGAAACUCCUAAAAAUGCAAAAAAAUAAUAAUAUAUUUUUGGGGUAUUAAAACGUGCUACCAAGACACACCCCUUCAUUACAACUGUUCCACUAAACCCUAGAGGUGUGUAAAAGAACCCGGACCCGCCCGGAUUGCCUGGAACUGAAUCGGAACAGCCCGGAACCGGUGGUUCUUGAGGGAACCGGUCUGGUUGCCGGUUCCAAUUUAUGGGAACCGGUGGGUACCGGUUCGGUUCCCAGUUCUAUAGAUAGAUCUGCUCACCCGGACUAGACCAAUUAUAUUAUAAAAAUAUAUUGAUUUUUAAUAUUAAAGUAAAAUUUGAAAUUACUAAUUAGCAAAUCUAAAUUUUAGAGCUCCAUCUCCUUUCAUGGUUUCCAUGUUUUAAUUAGAAUUUAGUAAAGUAUGUAAACUGCUUUUCAACAACUCAACAAAUGGCUUAUUCAAAAAAUAUUUUCGAGACUCACAUAUGACACUAUGUUCAAGAAUAUGUGGAGUACCGGUAGAAUUAUUUCUACAAAAAAAAUUCAGUAAAACAAAUGUUUUAAGAGAUUGAGCAUUGUCAGAGGAUAAAAGAAAAGAUGAUUUACAUAUGACAAUCAUCCAAAAUCUCGAACUUAAAGAAUAUCUUAGAUUUCAACUAAAAUGAUUCAAAAUUAGGAAAAAAAACCUAUUUAUCUUCUUUGAUAGUGUUUUCCAAUAAAAUAAAGAAAAAUGGUACCCUUAAUUAAACCGGUUCGAUUUAAAGAAAAAUAUUACUCGAUAUGAAAAGUACUCACGACGGGAUUUGGAAAACGAUAUUAUUAUUGGUAAGACUGGUUCCAUGGAUCCACCUGGAAACCAGACGGUCCGGUUCUUGGGUAGAUCCAUGUGACAACGGGUGAUUCCCGGUUCCAAUUUUUUGAAACCAGUUCUUAGUAGGCGGUUCUUGGUUUUAGGCUGGGAACUGCCCACCCGGACCAUGCACACCCCUACUAAACCUCCGGUUACAAAGCUUGCAUCGCUGCGCAGAACGGGGAAAACCGCGUGAUUGAUUGGCCACACACGAUCGAGGCCCUCGUCGCUGGUCUGUUCAUAUAGGUGAGCGAUUUGCCGGAUUCUUGCUGCUACUCCUCGAUGGCUACUACUAUUUAUUUCUUUUUCUUUUUUCUUUUUUGAAUUUUUCAUAAUACUCAAAAUUCAUUUUUUUGAUUUUUUUUUUAAUGUAGAGAUAGAUAUGCGCAUUGGACAUAUCAUUUCAGAGGAUUGAUUAUAUAUUGUUUAAACGGAGCUUAUUAUUGUUAUUAUUAAUAAUAUUUACCGCUAAUAAUAUUUGUUUAUUUAUACGUAAUUUAUGAUUCUGAUUCGCCUAAAAGAAACACAUUAUCGGUUCGAAAAUCGAAUUAAUAUUAUGCCACCUGAGUCAAAAAAGGGAAAAUCGUGAUUUGGUACAUUUUUCGCUCUCGAACGAUUGUUUUCCCAUGAUUUCUUGAUAUUACUUUAAUUAACAAAAUAAAGAGGUAAUUAACAAAAUCUGGGUCUUCGCCAUCGAUCGCGACGCCGUCGGGCGUGGCGCCUGCUCCUGCUGAUAGCGGGGCCGUGAGCAACGGAGUUGGCUUCGCCAAGGCGGUGGCAAUCGGCGUCCUCGUCGUCGGUCUAGUCAUCUAGGCAAUCGCCAGAUUCCUCCUGCUACUGCUCGUUGGCUACCUUUUUUUUUUUUUCCUUAAUUUUCGAUUUUUUUGUGCGUAGAGAGAUAUGGACAUUGGACAGAUCAUUACAGAGGAUUGAUUAUAUAUUGUUUAUCUGGAGAUUAUAUUAUUAUUUAUUGUUAAUAAUAUUCGUUUAUUUAUUUUCUUGGUGAUGGAUAUUCAUUUUUUUUUAUCCAUUAUUUGCGAUUCUUGUUCACUUAAAGAUCAAUUUUCGAAAAUAGCACAGCACACCUUCCAAAUGCUACUACGGUCCCAAUAAACAGUUAUUUGACAAUUUUACAUAAAAAUAACAAAAUAAAAGUAAUUAUCUAAAAUGGAGCGAAAAAUUCAAAUACUUCUAUGUACUUCACAGGAAAAAAAAUAGUGAGGGCUUUGCAAUUCAAUUACUAUUAUAUAAUUUCUAAGGAAGAAAAAGUCAAUUAGUGAUAUGUUUGUAGGAAUCGCGAGUUGAGAGCGACGAUGCUCAACUUUGAAUAAUACAUGAAAAGGCCAUUGUUUCUUAUUUAAGUUUUAAUUUUUCUCAUAAAGAAAUAGGCAAUAUUAAUUAAGUGAGAUUAGAAAAGUGAGUAGAUGGCUUGCAUAUAGAAAUAUGAAUAUUUCAUGAUCACAUUAAAAAAAUUAAAAAAUUUAAGAUGGCAUAAAAUAAAGUAAAAGUUAAAAAAUCGCAUUGCAUGGACCACAUUUGUCACUCCAGCAAUGAAAUCAAGAGAGUACAAAAAAGGAAAUUCCUGAAAGAAAUGCAAACUCAUUAUGGCAGACAAAAAGCGUGCAGAUGAUGAUAUCUCAUUUAAGGAUGGUAGAUGUAAAGUCAUAGCCCAACCAAUUUGAAGGCAAGAGCAAGGAAAAAAAAAGAACAAAAUAAUUUGUAAUGGAUGAUCAAACCAGUUUUAUCGUCGGUAAUUGAUGGGAACCAGUCUACUAAUAUGUUAUUGUUGAUUAGCUUUGUUUCGAAUAUUGUUGAAUUCUUUUAUUUUUGUAAUUCUUAGCAUUGUUUUUCCUUUUCAAAUUUUCAAAUAUUUUUUCCCUAAUUCAAUACUCCAUAGGUGCCACAUCGACAUCACGUGUCUUGAGAAAGUAUUGAGAAAAGUUCGCAUUUUUUGUUAGUCAGAUUAAAUGGAGUUAAUGGAGGACCUUAAUUGCAUCAAGUUAAUAGAUUUUGGGACUUAAUUAUAAAUUUUUAAAAGUUUUAAGAUUCAAAUAGUACAACUUUUACCCGGCCUGUGGUGGCCGAGUUAGUGGAAUCAUACGUUGGCCACACGCAAGGCCUGGGUUCAAUUCCCCAACUUGUCAUGAUGCGCAACUAAAGUGGGAAGCCGUGGGAGGUAAGUCCCUGCGCUAGCACCUCCGUGAUUUACGCGUAAUUGCCCUUGGCCGCGAUGCGGUUUCAUGGUCAUAAAAAAAAAAAAAAAACAGUAUAACUUUUUGUGACAAGUUUUAUGACUUUCAAGUGUAGUUACUCCUUUAUUUGAUGAUUAGAAACUAGAUUGAUGCAUUUAUUGAUUUUGAAUCAAGCUUCUAGGGGCUUGGGCAAACAUAUAAUGACAACAAAUUCAAAAAUUGUAACCAGGCAUUAUCCCUUUGGUUCUACAAUUGAUUCUUAACUAGAAGUUUCUCCGUUUUAGAAAUUAGAAAAUGCCGACAUAGGAAAUAUCACUCGAUAUUAUUAGAAUGGUUAAUAUCACAAAAAAUCCCAAAUUUAUAUACCAAUAAUUAAUUUUCAUUAAAUUUUAUUGUUAAAUUAUUAAAUUGGAUGACACAGAGUUAUAAUUUUAUAAGUUUAUGAUUUUUCGUGAUAUUAAUUUAAUUUACGGAAAACAAUGGAUGAUAAAUUUAUCACAAAAAUAUCAAUUUAUAAAUUUUGAUGAUAAAAAAAUUAAUUUGAAAUUAAUUUAUUAUAUAUAUAUUAAUUUAAAUUUUUUUAUGAUAUUAACUCUUAUUGAAAAUGCCCAUAAUUGCGAAAGGUGUACCGGGUUAGUCGUCGAUGUGCUAUUAGAACGUGCAAAAUAGACAUAUAACCCUUUACAACUGUCGCCACUAAACCCCAGCUAUAAGACUGGCGGGGAACCGCGUCGUUGAUUGGCCACGCGGUCAGAAAAAUACAAAUGAACCUCGGCCGUCGGAUCGAUCCGAGGGUUUCCAUUAAUAGUGCGGAUCCAACGGUCGACUCCGAUGAACUCCCACCCCAGCACGGAACUCAUCGCAAAACCUUCUAUAAAUACCGUCGCUCUCCCCGUCGCCGAUCGCAACCCGAAAAACCCUCGCUCCGAUCAGCAGAUUUUCUCUUACUAAAAGUUUCAGUUCCUUCUUUCUCUCUCUAAGAAGCUCUUCUUCCAUGGCUGGCUCAAGCGCGUUGCUCUCCCUGGCCGCAAUGGCGGUCCUCCUCGUCGGCCUGGCGGUGGCGC